GUGCUCGCUUUGGCAGCAAAUAUACUAAAAUUGGAACAGUACAGAGAAGAUUAGUAUGGCCCCUGCGUAAGAAAAAAAAAAAGAAACAGUCAAUGUUUCU
ensembl:snRNA U6 U6 spliceosomal RNA